CCUCAUGACAAGCUCUCACAUGGAAAUGAUGAAUAGUUGCUCUGCCAUGAUUAGUACUCAAAAUUGAAAUCUCUCUCAAGUUUAGGCAUGACUGUUAUUAAUUAAGAUUUGCUCUAAACCUGAACUUGUGGGAAGAGUACUUGAUCUAAAGUCUAAGUCGUUAACGGAUAUGAUAUGGGAAGGUUGAGCUGCUGUUUAUCUGUUCCUAGAGAUGCUAGAAUUCUGGAAGAAUUUAUCUUUGAAAAUCUUUAAAAUAUCACAUGAUGAGUUCUUGUAUGAUGAGAGUUUAAAUUCCUACCACAGCCAUAUAUACAUGCUUGCUAGACUUUGAGCCACACAUUUACUUUUUACUGCUUAUGAGCAUUGAGUGUGGUCAAGCUGUGUAGACCCUUAGGAGCUUGUCAUGUGGUUAAAUCAAGAUUCACUUGCACGUUCACUCACACAUGCUGCUUCUACUCUGGAAGUACGCAUCCACAUAUAUCCACCCAUUUCCAUCUCCAGAACCACCGAAAAAUAUUCUACUUCUAAUCCGGGAGAGAAUAGCCAAAAACAUUCUCCUGUUCCUAUUUUUUUUUCAUGUGAAAUAAAUGCUCAAGUUAUCUUGGUCACUACCACUUGCUAUAUUAUUUCGAGAGAUGAGUGCUCUAAAAAAAGAGAAAAAAAGAUACGAGGAAAUAAAAAGGGGCAAGUGCCCGGAACCUCGAAAGAAAAGGAAAGAGUGAGACGAGAGGUAAAAAUGGACAAGUGUCCGACAGUAGAAUUAGGGGUACAAGAUACCCACCUUAGAGAAAAGAAAAAGAAAAUAUAGAGCAUCUCAUUCCCCUCAAAAGUCUCAAGUGCAAGGAAGGUAUGUACCCCCUCAAAAGAGCAAAAGUAGAAUUAGACUUUCACCAUUAUUUUCACCAUUAUCACCAUUCAUUCGCCACACAUGCACAUCUUGAUUUGACUUAUUGACUUGUUCUUCUCGAUCCAUGGUUUGACUAUGCAAUAAAUGUCUUGUAAGUAUGUAUAUUUUAUCUCCCACCUAUGAGCUCCAGAUAUUAAAGCCUUAUUAGAAUAGGGUAAGAGAGAAGGCAAUGUCACUAUGCCUUAUACAACAAAUACCACAUAUUUUGAGAGAAGGCAUAUACCAUCACUGACUUGGUAAGGAUCUAGAAAUAACACAAAAGAGAGAUCUGAGAGUGUCAUACAAGGAAUCUCUGAGUUUUAUUUGAAAAUCUGCAAAAACUCCAGAGCUAUAGCUGAUCAAGAAUAAGAGACAUGGCACUUGACUAGACCGUUCUAUCUUUUAACUGCUCAAGACAGAAGUGACGGUUACAAGCCCCAUGGUGGAAGGUAAAAUGAGUAAGUUUAAAUCUUAACAGUUUACCCUAACCCAGAGAUGAGAUCUUAUUUGAACGCAUGUGUACCUUUAAGAUAUGAAACCACUGCAGAAACUCUUGAGUUCAUCUUUGCUCAGGGACGAGCAAAGAGUAAGCUUGGGGGAGCUUGUUGACGGUCCUGAAUGCUCACAUUUAACCAUAAACUAAUCAUGGAAAAGGAUCCAAAUGCAACUCACCUAGACUUAGGGUUUUAUCUGACAGAAUUCCAUGAAUUUUGGUGUUUGUCUAUUUCUGCAGGGGGUUAUCAGGAAAUACGGAGGAAAGGCCCACACGUCGGGUUUACAUAGAGAUAUUAAUGUGCCGCACAAUUUUCUAUCAUCUAGAAGACUCCAGAAGCCAUGGGAACGAAGUGGAGGCCGAACGGGGCCUGGCCUAGGGCGCCCGCCCUAAGGACCAGGGCGCCCACCCUCCUAUAGUGUCCAAUUCGGACCCGUCUCGCGGAUCACGCUCCACCGACCUAAAGGAUCAAGGAUAACCGUUCAAUCAAUGUCGGUUUGAUCCGACGGCCCAGAUUUACUUGAGGGGACUAUAUAAGCAGACCCCCUGGCCCCUGGAGAACAUACCUCUUCUACAGAAUCAAAGUUAGAGUUUCAAUUCUUCAUCCAAGUAGAGAGGAUCCCUCUAGUUCAUCUAGUUCUACCUCUAGUUCAUCUAGUUCUAGUUCUAGUUCAUCUAGUUCUAGUUCUAGUUCUAGUUAGUUCUAGUUGUAAUCUAGAAAAUAGGGAGAGAGAAGAGGAGAGCGAAGGAGGAGCAGGAUCUGUCAGAUCUUCCUCAACAUUGUACUUUUGCAGCAACUAGUUCAUUCUUCAUCGUUCUCCAGGUUCUUCAAUUCAUAAUUCCUGAGUUCUUUAAUUACUUUUAUUUACAUUCAAGUUAUUUAUUGGAUUCCCGCUUGCAUCAAGUGCUCUAAUCUUUGCAACAUUAGAGUAGUAAUUAAUAGAUUAGACGUGGUGUUUAGUCUUGCAAUUACCUAGAAUUGCACCCAAUCCUGCAGAUUAUUGUGGUAGCCCUAGGGUAGUGACAGCCCUAACGGUCAACGUAUUCCACCUCGCUCGGAUCGGUGUUUGUAGGACCGUAGUCAGAGCUUCCUAGCCCCCUUCUCAUCUCUUUCCGUGGUUAGUGUUCUGAUGUCCCGAAAUAAAUAAUCUUUGAAGUAAUUCUUGAUUCUUAGAUCAACUAGAGAACUCUCAGGAAACUUCCUCUCUUCCCACCAAAAAUAAUUAUAUAGUUAUCCUUGGGCGAUCUUGAAUCUUAAUUAGUACACUCACGUUCCCUGUGGAAAAUCGAUACUCUAGAAUACUCCCGGGUGAAAGCUACAUCGGUAUCCGUGCACUUGCGGAUUUUUUUGUUUGCGUUUAAAAUACCCAACAACCUCGCCUCACUAUAGCCCCCAGCCUAGACGGAGUCUUGAAUGUUGUUGUCGUUGUUGCCCAAGUGUUGGGCUUGGGGUCGCUAAGGAGAAAGGUCAUGCGUUGUCUUUGAGCAAGGCUUGGCACCCCUGGUCCAAGGCCGAUCAAAGCUAUAGUUGGAGGAUCAGCCACUGCCUCCUUCUAUCGGUGGGGUUCAUGUGUUGGAGUACCCCUCAUUGGUGGCCGACGUCGCUUGGGACGGACAAGGAGCACCACGACACAAAGAGACCAAACUCUUGGCCUGCUGUUCGAGGGCAAUGCGGAGCAACCGCUUCACCUUGUUUAGCCACUCGUCAGCCUUUGGGUCUAGAGUGUCAGAAAUGUUUUCUAGGUGGUAGGCAGCAGCUGCCAUGUUGUAGGUGUUGACGGUAGAUAACUCCUAAUUUUAACCGCCAACUGAACAUGAAAAUGGACCUAUUUGAAAGCACUCAGUAGAUAUAGGGUUAUCACUAAUAGAAUUCGAUGAGUUUUGGUGAAUGUCUAUUUCUGUAGGGUGUCAGCUGAAAACAACCAAAGAUGGUCCACAUGUCAAAUUUACAUAGAAAGAACAUGUGAACUUCAACUCAGGAACAUUCUAGAAGACUCGAGGAGCCACCACCUAAAACCUAGCCCACUUGGAAGCUGGCCAGGGGCGGGCGCCCCUACCAGGUGGGGCAGCCACCCAGAGGUGGGAACCAAUUAGGUUUCACCUCACGGAUCCAGCCUCCACCGACUUUGAGGAUUAAUCGGAGUGCACAUUUAACUCAGUUUGAUCCAAGGGUUGCGGUGCUUCCUAGGGGGCUAUAAAUACAAGCCAAACCCCCCUUGAGGAGCUAAUUCUAAAACCCUAAUUUAUAUUUUCCAUAGAGAAUUAGACAGAGAGGGGUCCCUUGAAUGGAUCUAUCUCUAUAGUGUCAUAGCAACAAGAGAGAUUGAGAGAGUAUAGGGUGAAGAUAAGAGUUGAGGAAGCCCGGCCUAUCGGUGUCUUCUUCUUUGUAUCUUCAGGAUCAAGUCUCCUAACCCGAGGCUUGGUUCUAGAAUUGUUCGACAAUUUGACUUUUAAUACUAGUAAGUUAUUGUUCUUUGGUUUAUGAGUUUACUUUAUUCGCUUCAUGUAGGGAAUAGAGUAAUUAUUCGUAGCGUAAGCAUGGUGCUUGGGCUAGGAAUACUCGUAGAUACUCCCUGUUUGGCUGGAUUUGUGGUAGCUUUAGGGGGAGUGACAAUCCUCUAAGGUCUCUGUAAUCCAUAUCCCGUCAGGAGGUAAGGUAGGGUAUAUGGUGCCACAGUUAAGCACUCUUUGAGGUGUCUUUUUUCUCUAGGUACUCCCCUUAGAACGAUAACCAAACACUUACCAUAGGUUAGAAGAACACUUUCUCUCUAUAUCACUCAUAUCUCACUAUCUUGUCUUGCAGCCCGUGGGUAGUAGGUAAAAUAAGGGUUAGUCGUUUGCACGCUUUCUCCUAGUGGUAAAAAAAUAAACACGAUACUCUAGACUUAUCUCCUGGGUGAAGUGCUCAUCGAUAUCCGUGUACUUGUGGAUUAUUUCUCUUUGAUUCUUUCGUGUGCGUAACUAAUAUCAACAAGCAUUUCUGGCGCCGUUGUCAGGGAGAAAGACGGUCUGCUUAGAUAACCCAGUCUUACUCUACCUUGUAUCAUACUUUUAUCUUUUCUGUUAUCUCACCUUUUCUUACAUCUUAACUUUUCUUUUAUGAAUACCUUAAAUUCUAUUCCUAUCAUUCAGUUCUCUGCACCCAAAGAGACCAGCCUAGAGCCACAUGAGUCAUCACAAUCUAUCCAAACAUGUAGCUAUUGGCUGAGUCUGCAGUUGAUUGAAUUGGUCCAAAGCCUAUCCUUUUUAGGAGAAGGAGGUGAAAAUCCUUACCUACGCAUUAGAGACUUUGAGAAAACAUGUGACUGUCUUCACAUAGAAGGCAUAUCUGAUGAAACUCUCUAUUGGAAGAUAUUUCCUUUUUCAUUAAAGGGAAAAGCUAGACAAUGCUAUAAUAGAGCCGUAGGUAAGCAACAAGGAGAUUGGGGAUCUUUACAUUCUAACUUUUGCCUAGAUUUCUAUCCCAUCUCUCAAAUCAUCGACCUUAGAGUCAAAGUUCUCACUAUAAAGCAAGAAUCUAAAGAAUUAUUUACCUCAGCCUAGAAUUGAUUUAGUACACUUUAGCAUCCGGCCCAGACCUUAGUCUACUAGAUCCUAUUCUUUUACAACAUUUUUAUAAAGGUCUGAGUAGGGAAACUAGAAAGUUGCUUGUCACAACUUCAGGAGGAUCUUUCUUGCAUAUAUCUUUUGAGAAAGCAAGAUUAAUCCUAGAUCAAAUGCUAUGCACUGAAUUAGAUUACCUCUUGGAAGUAGAGCCUUAACCCUAGUUAGCUGAAACCGAUCCUUUGCCAAACACACCAUCUACUUCUGCUAAAACAUGUCUCGAGAAAGAAAAAGAAGAAAUUAUAUUUCCAGAUUUUAUGCUAGACAUACAAUCCAAUCUCUUUUCCGAAUUUGGAAAUGUUUUGAAUUAUCACUCUAUGAAGAGGCUGUUGAUGGGUAUUUUAAACGCAAACAGAAAAAUCCGCAAGCGCACGGAUACCGAUGUAGCUUUCACCCGGGAGUAUUCCAGAGUAUCGAUUUUCCACAGGGAACGUGAGUGUACUAAUUAAGAUUCAAGAUCGCCCAUGGAUAACUAUAUAAUUAUUUUUGGCGAGAAGAGAGGAAGUUUCCUGAGAGUUCUCUAGUUGAUCUAAGAAUCAAGAAUUACUUCAAAGAUUAUUUAUUUCGGGACAUCAGAACACUAACCACAGAAAGAGAUGAGAAUGGGGCUAGGAAGCUCUGACUACGGUCCUACAAACACCGAUCCGAACGAGGUGGAAUACGUCGACCGUUAGGGCUGUCACUACCCUAGGGCUACCACAACAAUCCGCAGGAUUGGGUGCAAUUCUAGGUAAUUGCAAGACUAAACACCACGUCUAAUCUAUUAAUUACUACUCUAGCGUUGCAAAGACUAGAGCACUUGAUGCAAGCAGGAAUCCAAUAAAUAACUUGAAUGUAAAUAAAAGUAAUUAAAGAACUCAGGAAUUAUGAAUUGAAGAACUUGGAGAACGAUGAAGAACGAACCAGUUGCUGCAAAAGUACAAUGUUGAGUAAGAUCCGACAGAUCCGGCUCCUCUUCCGCUCUCCUCUUCUCUCUCCCUAUUUUCUAGAUUACAACUAGAACUAACUAGAACUAGAACUAGAUGAACUAGAACUAGAACUAGAUGAACUAGAAGGAUCCUCUCUACUUGGAUGAAUAAUUGAAACCCUAGCUUUGAUUCUGUAGAAGAGGUAUGUUCUCCAGGGCUAGGGGCCUUGCUUAUAUAGUCUUUUCAAAUGAAUCUGGGCCGUCGGAUCAAACCGACAUUGAUUGAACAGUUAUCCUUGAUCGAUUAGGUCGGUGGAGCAUAAUCCGCGAGGUGGACCCUGAUUAGGCACCAAAGGAUGGCGGGCACCCUGGUCCCUAGGGCGGGCGCCCUGGGCCAGACCCCGUUCUGCCUCUGCUUCAUUCCCGUGGCUUCUGGAGUCUUCUAGAUGAUAGAAAAUUGGGGCACACGUUAAUAUCUCUAUGUAAACACGACGUGUGGGCCUUUCCUCCAUAUUUCCUGAUAACCCCCAGUAGAAAUAGACAAACACCAAAACUCGUGGAAUUCUGUCAGAUAAAACCCUAAGGCUGGGUGUUGGUUGCAUUUGAAUCCUUUUCCAUGAUUAGUUGACGGUUAAAUGUGAGCAUUAAGGACCGUCAACAAGCUCCCCCAAGCUUAACCUUUGCUCGUCCCUGAGCAAAGCUAAAAUCAGCAAGAAAACAUGGGUUACUUUUAUGCCUCUUACUAUAGGAUUUUUAAGUUAUCACUAAGGUCUUAAGUGAUUGAAAAAUAGAACGACCAAGUCAAGCACUAUGUCUCAAGUUCUUCUGUCUUACCUUUGUUCUGGAGUUUUUUUGUAAGUUUCCAAAAUAAAACUUAGACAUUUAUCUUCUUCUUGACAGAUAUAUAAGUAGAGCUUUAAAAGUUUUAGCAUACUUUGCAUUUUGCUAUGUCAAUGCUCGGAGCAAGGGAGAGGAAUGUCAUACUCCUAGAUCAAGACCUUUGACCUUUUUGAAAAGUUUGUCAUCUCUUACUGGUAUAUUGCUUAUUAGAGGGACCAUGGGCUAUUUUUUCUUUCUUUUUUUAGUCUCUCUCUUUUUUUUCAAGUGGGCACCAAGUACCCCUAAUUCUACUGUCGGACACGUGUCCAUUUUUUCCACUCAGGUGGGUAUCUUUGUACCCCUAAUUCUACUUCGGACACUUGUCCAUUUUUACCUCUCAUCUCACUCUUUUUUUUCGAAUCAAAUUUUUGCAUAGUCCCAUGCCUCUAAUGCAAUAAUACUUUGGAAGAGUGAAUCUUUUAUAUUAUGAAAACAAAAUGAUCUUGAUCUUUGGAGCAUGAUAAUUCUCUCAACCAAAACUACAAGAAUUAACAAUGGCUUCUUCUUUUUUAUAUAUAUGAACUUUUAGAUUUUCAAAAGAUAAAAUCUCCGGAACUCUAGCAAAACUUGGAACAAGUUAAAUAGUAGCUCAGACCAUCUCAUAUCAUGUUUGUCAAUUUUCUAAACUCACAUCAAACUUUCUUUUUAUUUUUUUAAAACUUAGGAGUACACAAAACUAUUAUAAAUUACUCAAAAGAAAAACUUUGUUUGGUUUCAUGGUUAUGCAUUUUUUAUUUAUUUCCGAAUACUAGUAAAUAAAACCGAGAAAGAAAAGUAAUACUUAUCUAGAUACACGUGGGGGUGCCUCCCCCAAGCUGGAUGUUGACAUAGUCGUUUACUCUUGUGGCCUGCAUGUUUGGUCUCACUCUUCUUAAGCCUCAAAAUCCCGCACAACCCAAAUAGACAAUAAAACUCGUGGAGCAUGUUAAGGGUUAGGUAAUUGUCUAGAGCUUAUGAGAGCUUAAUGUGAGAAUUCUAUGAACUCAAUCACAUCAAGUUCCUCUACCAGGUUGUUUUGUGGCUCGAGAUAGAUUUUCAAGCGUUGACCAUUUACCUUAAAAGUGUUACCUAUGUCGUCUUGGAUGGUAAUGGCUCCAUGAGUUGAAGUGUCAAUAACCUUGUAUGGUCCAUCCCACUUACUUCGUAGCUUACCAUGCCCAAAGAGCUUAACUCUUGAAUUGAAUAGUAGAACCUUAUCUCCAGGCUUAAACUCCUUGUGCUUGAUUCUCUUAUCAUGCCAUCGUUUUGUUCUCUCUUUAUAGAUCCUUGAAUUGUGGUAGGCUUUUUCUCUCCAUUCUUCUAGCUCAGAUAGUUGCAUCGGACGAUUCUCGCUAGCGAGGUGGAGAUCCAUGUUCCAUUUCUUGAGUGCCCAAUGAGCCUUAAACUCUACUUCCACAGGCAAAUGACAAGUCUUUCCAUAUACAAGUUGAUAAAGUGACAUGCCUAUGGGUGUUUUGAAUGCAGUUUUAUAUGCCCAAAGUGCAUCAGGAAGUUUGUCCUUCCACCCCUUACCCAUCUCAUCUACAGUCUUUUGUAAAAUUUUUUUGAUUUGUUUGUUAGAUGUUUUGGCUUGACCGCUAGUCUGAAGAUGGUAUGGUGUUGCGACGUUGUGUCAAACUCCAUGAUCGGAUAGGUACUUUCGAAAGAUUUUGUCGAUGAAGUGGGAACCUCCAUCGCUUAUAACUAUCCGGGGUAUACCAAAGCGAGGAAAUAUUACUUCAUGGAACAUUCUCUUGGCAUGUUUUGAAUCAGCUGAUCGACAAGGUAGGGCUUCUAUUCAUUUGGACAUGUAGUCCACAGCUACUAAGAUAUACUCGCAAUUCCCGGACAUAGGGAAUGGCCCCAUGAAAUCAAUGCCCCAUACAUCGAAAAGUUCUACUUGAAGAUUAUUUGCUAGAGGCAUUUCAUUUCGUGAGUUGAUGUUCCCAUGUUUUUGACAUCGGUGGCAUCUCCUGACAAAGUUCUUUGUAUCUUCAUACAUCGUUGGCCAGAAAAAGCCACUUUGCCAAAUUUUAGCAUGUGUCCGGAAUGCUCCAUAGUGUCCUCCAUAUGGCGAGGCAUGACAUCUUUCCAUAAUUUGAGUAGCCUCAGCCAUAGGAACACACCUUCUCAAGAGUCCAUCAGUGCAGACUCGGAAAAGAUAUGGCUCAUCCUAAAGGUGGAAAUGACUAUCAUGAAGCAACUUCCUUUUGUUUGUACCAGGUGGGACGUAGCCAUAUACUAUAAAGUUUACGAUGUCUGCGUACCAUGGAUCUGCAUGUGUUAUCUUAAGCAGGGUGUCAUCCCUUAGGUAGUCAUUUAUGGGAAGCUCAUCAUGUGUUUCCUUAUAUUGAAGCCUAGACAAGUGGUCGGCUACAUAAUUCUCUACUCCCUUCCUAUCUCGGAUUUCUAUGUCAAAGUCUUGGAGUAGAAGAAUCCAUCGAAUUAGACGAGGCUUAGCAUCUUUCUUAGUGAGGAGGUAUUUGAGAGCAGCAUGGUCUGAAUAGAUGAUUAUCUUUGCCCCCACAAAGUAAGAUCUAAACUUGUCUAUAGCAAAGACAAUAGCCAAAGCUCUUUUUCAGUUGUAGUGUAAUUGAGCUGUGGUCCAAACAAGGGUUUGCUAGCGUAGGAUAUGGCAUAAUGCUUUUUAUCCUUGGUUUGUCCUAAAACGGCACCAACCGCAAAAUCGCUAGCAUCACACAUGAUCUCAAAAGGAAGAUUCCAAUCAGGUGGUUGGAUGAUUGGGGCUGAGAUGAGUGCUUUCUUAAGAGUUUGAAAAGAUUCAUGACACUCAUCACUAAAGAUGAAAGGUGCAUCCUUAGCUAGGAGACUAGUUAGGGGUCUAGCAAUUUGAGAGAAGUUCUUGAUAAAGCGUCUAUAGAACCCUGUAUGUCCCAAAAAGCUACGGAUUCCUUUCACAUCGUGGGGGGUGGAAGUUUUUCAAUAACUUCAAUCUUUGCUUUGUCCACCUCUAUACCAUGUUCGGACACUUUAUGUCCUAGCACUAUUCCUUCCUGAACCAUAAAAUGACAUUUCUCCCAGUUCAGGAUUAAGUGCUUUUCUUCACAUCACUGCAAGACUCUAUCUAAAUUCUCCAAACAAUGAUCGAAGGUUUUGCCAUAGACAGUAAAAUCAUCCAUGAAAACCUCCAUGAUCUUCUCAAUCAUGUCCGAGAAAAUAGACAUCAUGCAUCGUUGGAAAGAAGCUGGAGCAUUGCACAAUCCGAAUGACAUUCGUCGGUAUGCAUAAGUUCCAUACGGGCAUGUAAAGGUAGUCUUUUCUUGGUCAUCUAGGUGGAUUGGGAUUUGUUGAUAUCCAGAAUAACCAUCAAGGAAAGAAAAGAAAGAGUGGUUUGCAAGCCGUUCCAACAUUUCAUCAAUGAAGGGUAACAGAAAGUGAUCUUUCUUUAUAGCCUUGUUGAGUUUUCAAUAGUCAAUACACAUACGCCACCCAGUGACAAUUCAUUGAGGGAUGAGUUCAUUCUUCUCAUUCCUAAUGACCGUCAUUCCUCCUUUCUUUGGCACUACUUGGACAGGGCUAACCCACUCACUAUGUGGCAUAGGAUAAAUAAUCCCAGCAUGAUAGAGUUUGAGGACCUCUUUCUUAACAACCUCUCGCAUAGCAUAGUUAAGUCUCCGUUGUGGUUCCCUUGAAUGUGUAAAAUUGGGAUCAAUAGGGAUACGAUGAGUGCAGAGAAUGGGACUAAUGCCCGUGAGAUCUUUGAGAGAGUAACCAAAUGCUGAUCUAUGCCUUUCAAGAAUAGUGAGAAGUUGUUGUGUUUCAUAAUCGGAAAGCUUGUCACUGAUAAUUACUGGAGUGUUUGGGUUGUUGUACAAAAAGACAUAUCUAAGGCCAGAAGGAAGAGGUUUUAACUCUAUCAAAGGAGGUGAAGGUUGUUCAUUUUUGUCUAGCUCAACGGGUUCUACCAACUCUUCUUCUUCUUGAACAAAGUGUUCAUGAUUAAAGAAUGGUUGGGCCAUCUCCUCUUGAGUCAGCAUUAAGAUCUCCUCAAUAGGAUCUGGUUCAAGUUUGGGUUCUACUAUCGUGUUAAUUGAUCUAGCAUGAGGAACAACAAUAGUGGAAUUCCCAACCUUGAAGUCUAAAUGACCUCGUUGUGGUUGUUCUUGUAGAAGUUUCAUGAUUGGUCUGCCAAUCAAGAAAGGAAUCUCCAGUAUGUCAAAAAUGUGAAAAUCUAGACAUAUUCCACAGUCCUUGAUUCUAACAGGAACUGCCCUUAAUACCCCAUGGCUUUCUAGAAUUAAUCUAGAUGGACUUUGUAAAAGUUUUUGAGAUGGGGUUAUGGACUCGUUGGGAUAAAGAGUGUCAGCUAACUCCUUGGAAUUAACAUUUAUCCCAACAUAUGGAUUGUAGUGGACCUUCCUAGCGGACCCUCUAAUUUGGCACAGAAGAAUGGUUGAAGGAGUGAUGAUUCGAGCUACCUUAGGAGACAGCUCUGCUUCUGUUAGCCAUUCAUAACUCAGAAUAGCUGAAAGGCUUUUGAUGUGUUUUAUGUCAACAGAUUCUACUCUUAGAACGGAUUGAGUGGUCCCUGCUAGAGGUCGUAUUUGGAUAGGAAAAUUUGAGGUGUUUCCAUAAUCUUCAAAAAGAUCUUCCUCGAAUUCAAAGGGAUGCUCUAAAGGUGGUGGUUCAUUAUCCCUUAGUUGGUUUUGCAUUACCUUAUCAGGAGGUUUCUCUACAACCAAAUUAAUAGAUGGGUCAGGUGGAAUUUCUAACUCGGUUGCAUGUUCCUCAUCUUUUGGUUUAGGAUCAGGCUCGACUUCUUUUUCUUCUUCAGAAAACUCAUCAUAAAUGCCUGUGUGAGGGGUAUUUUCAAGGAUUCUCUCUAGGAUAGCUCUCCCCUCAUCUGUGAGUUUGUGUGUGAAUGAGCCUCCGAAAGCAAUGUCGAGGUGAAGAGCAGCUUCCUUAUUUAGACCACGAUAAAAGUGGUAGUACAAUACAUGGUUAGGCAGGGCAAGGUUCGGACCGGAAUUGCUAAGGCUUGUGAACCUUGCCCAAGCUGCUCCUAAAGUUUCUUUCUCUCUUUGUUUGAAUGUAAGAAUUUCAAUUCUAAGGUCAGCGAUUCGAAAAAGUGGGAAGAAAGCGAGACAAAAGUUGUCCCGAAGUUCAUCCCAAUUUCCAUUAACGCCUCCUACAGAAUGAUCAUACCACUUUUUUGCUCUUCCCAAAAGGGAGAACGGAAAUAAUUUCCAUUUAAGGGUUUCUUGUGUCAUGCCGGAAAUAGAUCGGCAAGAGCACAACUGCUCGAAUUCUCUAAGGUGGGUGUAUGGAUCUUCAUCUACUUGCCCAGAGAAGGGUUGCUCCUGAAUCAUGGCUAUUAGAUCAGGGCCGAGGUCGUAGCCAUCUGUAAGAAUUGGAUGUGAUGAUGGUGGUGGCUCUAAUAACUCGCCCUUUGGAGCAAAGAAUUUAUAGAUAGGAGUGAAAUCCAUGUGGUAUGGUGAAAAUGGUAAGGUGAGUGUGGUAAAAAGAAAAUGGAUACACGGAUGACUUGGUUUGAAACUAGCACAACUACCGUUCCCCGGCAAAGGCGCCAGAAAGCUUGUAGGGUAUUUUAAACGCAAACAGAAAAAUCCGCAAGCGCAUGGAUAUCGAUGUAGCUUUCACCUGGGAGUAUUCUAGAGUAUCGAUUUUCCACAGGGAACGUGAGUGUACUAAUUAAGAUUCAAGGUCACCCAAGGAUAACUAUAUAAUUAUUUUUGGUGAGAAGAGAGGAAGUUUCCUGAGAGUUCUUUAGUUGAUCUAAGAAUCAACAAUUACUUCAAAGAUUAUUUAUUUCGGGACAUCAGAACACUAACCACAGAAAGAGAUGAGAAGGGGGCUAGGAAGCUCUGACUACGGUCCUACAAACACCGAUCCGAACGAGGUGGAAUACGUCGACCGUUAGGGCUCUCACUACCCUAGGGCUACCACAACAAUCCGCAGGAUUGGGUGCAAUUCCAGGUAAUUGUAAGACUAAACACCACAUCUAAUCUAUUAAUUACUACUCUAGCGUUGCAAAGACUACAACACUUGAUGCAAGCGGGAAUCCAAUAAAUAACUUGAAUGUAAAUAAAAGUAAUUAAAGAACUCAGGAAUUAUGAAUUGAAGAACUUGAAGAACGAUGAAGAACGAACUAGUUGCUGCAAAAGUACAAUGUUGAGGAAGAUCCGACAGAUCCGGCUCCUCAUCCGCUCUCCUCUUCUCUCUCCCUAUUUUCUAGAUUACAACUAGAACUAACUAGAACUAGAACUAGAACUAGAUGAACUAGAACUAGAACUAGAACUAGAUGAACGAGAGGGAUCCUCUCUACUUGGAUGAAUAAUUGAAACCCUAGCUUUGAUUCUGUAGAAGAUGUAUGUUCUCCAGGGGCUAGGGGCCUUGCUUAUAUAGUCUUUUCAAAUGAAUCUGGGCUGUCAGAUCAGACUGACAUUGAUUGAAUGGUUAUCCUUGAUCCAUUAGAUCGGUGGAGCAUAAUCCACGAGGCGGACCCUGAUUGGGCACGGGCGGCUUGGUCCCUAGGGCGGGCGCCCUGGGCCAGACCCCGUUCUGCCUCCGCUUCGUUCCCGUGGCUUCUGGAGUCUUCUAGAUGAUAGAAAAUUAGCGCACACAUUAAUAUCUCUAUGUAAACCCGACGUGUGGGCCUUUCCUCCAUAUCUCCUGAUAAUCCCCUGCAGAAAUAGAUAAACACCAAAACUCGUAGAAUUCUGUCAGAUAAAACCCUAAGUCUGGGUGUUGGUUGCAUUUGAAUCCUUUUCCAUGAUUAGUUGACGGUUAAAUGUGAGCAUUAAGGACCGUCAACAUCUACUUGUUUAUAUUUGCAAUUAUAUUGUUCUUAGUUUAUCAUAGUUAUAUGCUUGGCUUAGUUAGAUUGGAAUUAUAUACAUGUUUAGGAUCGUAUAGCGUUUAUCCAUGUGUACAGUGGGUAAAUGAUAAGUAUUGUGUAGGCGUGGUGCCUAUACCGUAUUUAUCUGCGAUUGUACCCUAUAUGCCAGACCGCUGGGUAGUUCGUGGUAGUGAGAGCUCCAUUGAUUCUUAUGUAGUCCCCCUCUCAUGUAUAGGGCUGGCAGAGCAACAUUAUUACAGGGGAGUUAUUGCUAUGUUUCUCAUAUUCCUUGAUAAUAUCACUAUGCAUGGGCGUAGUCCUGUCUCGCAAUGAUUCCCAAGUAUAAUUGCACUAACUAUGAUAUGCUAGACUUUAUAGUUAAGAAUAACUUAGGAAAUAUUCCUCUAGUUCGUCCUAAUUCCAUGCUAAUGACUUACUAGAAUAUCUAUUGAGGUGCUUAUCAUUAUUAUAUGUGGCUAAGUUAUGCUGAUCAGAUUAAUUAUCUUGUCACCAUUCAUAUUUUAUCUAUAUCUUAUGUGACACUUAUCCCUAUAUGAAAGAGAUAGAUAAGUGCUCUCAAUUAUACAAGCAAUGAUAGAUACUAAAUUCUAUAUUCCAUUCCAUAAUCAACAUUGAUGAUUAGAAAUCCUUUCUCAGUGGUAAAAAUAUAAAUAACGAUACCUAGAAUACUUCCCGGUUAAAAUGCUACAUCGGUAUUAAUCUGUGCGCUUGCAGAUCUCAUUUAUUAUUUAUUUAGAAGAGCAAUUGCAUAUUUCAAUACCGCGUCUCCCAUGUCAUGCUGGGGAUGAAAACUUGGCUUAAGUGGCAUGAGGGAUAGGUUUGGCAUUUUUGGCGCCAUUAUCAGAAAUAGAAAACUAAGUCUAAUUUUGGUAAUGACGUUAAGAAUGCCCAACAAGCAUUUUUGGCACUGUUGCUGGGGAAGGUUGAUUACUAACUAGGAAUGAAUAUGGAAUUUCGAGUCAUCAUUCGCAUCACUAAUAUGAUUGAGAUUAUCAAUUCUCUCAUACAGUUUUACCCCGAUAUUUUUCUAUUUUACUUUAUGCAGGGUGAUGUAUGAAUAGAAGACAUCUUCUAGGAAAUUUUGUUGACAACCCCAAAGCAUUAUUCAGAAAAUCAAGAGCCAAGCUCAAGAAGGCAUCGUCAACACUUCAGCACGAAGCUUCAUCCAAUCAAAAAGAUCGCCGAAGUUUUACCCGGAACUUGUCUUCAGAAUUCGAAGUCAUGGCGAAUAAAUCAAUCCGUGAGUUCUCAGCUCUCAUUACGGACAACAUCCGUGCUGGACAUGCUAUAGAGAUCGACGGCAACUUUGAGCUCAAGCCUGGACUUAUCAACAUGGUGCAAUCCAACCAGUUCUGUGGGAAGGCACACGAAGAUGCUAGUGCUCAUCUCUAACACUUCCUAGAGAUUUGCAGCACAUUCACCAUAUCAGGAGUCCCUAGAGAUGCUAUACUACUUCGCCUCUUCCCAUUCUCACUGUUAGGGAGAGUGAAGCAGUGGUUCUACGCUACAAAGGAGAAGAAUACUACAUGGGCACUCUGCUCCACGAACUUUCUGGCUAAGUUCUUUCCCAUGGGAAAGACCAAUACUCUUCGUGGGAAAAUUACAAGUUUACAGCAACAACAUGAUGAAUCCGUUCCAAAAGCAUGGGAGUGCUUCCAAGGCUACAUCCUAGAAUGUCCCAUCAUGGAAUGGAAAGCUGGCUACUGAUGCCGAUGUUUUAUCAUGGGCUCGGCAAUAGUGCCUGAGAGACCAUGGAUGCUGCAACUGGAGGAGCAUUCCUAUCACUCACCAUAUCACAAGCCACAGCUCUUAUGGAGAAGAUGGCGUCCAACCUAGGCUGGAAUGAAGAAAGGACCCAGACACGCAAGAGAGGUGGAGGUAUGCAUCAGCUCAAGGAGGUAGACAUGCUGUUUGCGAAUCUAGACCUGCUCAUGAAGAAGCUCGAUGAUAAAGCUGGAGAUAAGAAGGAAGUUAUGCACUCUCACAUGACUUGUGAGGAGUGUGGAGAUACUGGACACUCAGGUAAUCGCUGCCCUAAGAUACUUGAGGAUGUGAACUACAUCAACAACAACAACUACUACUACUACUACAACCGUCCUCAGCAAAAUCAAGGUUGGAAUCAACAGAGGCCUAACUACUCAGGUAAUUAUAAAGGUAACAGUUCUUACAAUAAUAAUAAUUUUCCACCUGUGAGAGAGUUAGUGUCUAAUCAAGGAAAGCUAAUGGAUAACCUAUCUAAGAAAUUGGCAUCUAAUGAUAAAAUAUUAGAAAAUAUAAAUAAUAGAAUGGAUAAUUUCUCUACUGCCAUCAAGAAUCAAAUUAGCUUUAAUAAAAUGAUUGAAUCUUAGUUAAAUCAAAUAGCUGCUGUUGUUCCUACUACUAACCCCGGUAUACCAUCACAACCAGAAGGAUUAGAAUAUGCAAAUCUUGUAGACAUGAUUGAUACAGGUAACAACUAGAGUAACCCCAUUGCAGAAGUUACUACUGACCUUCUGCUGGUCAAGAGAGGCGAUCCAGGACGCCCCGUCAUUCCGAUCUCCAUUGGCAUGGUGGACUUCCCAGAAGCACUCUGCGACUUUGGCUCUAGUGUCAACAUUAUGCCCAGGGUACUCUAAGAAAAAUUCUUUACAUAUCCUUUACUAGAAACAACCAUGUGUUUGUAGUUUGCAGAUUAGGCAUUAAGUUUCCCAAAGGGAAUAUUGAAGAACCUCUGUGUCCGAGUUGGUACCUUAUACGCCCCAGCAGACUUCGAGGUGAUAGAGACCGGUAAUGAUGAGAAGGCACCCGUCAUCUUAGGGAGGCCAUUCCUGAACACCUCGGGAGCUGUCAUCUACGCUAGUGCUGCCAAGAUCAGUUUCUACAUCAAGGGAAGGAAGGAGACGUUUUCCUUCAAGAACAAGACUACACAAAUCCUAGAGCAAUCCCGACAUGAACCAAAGAAGAGGACCAACAGGUGGAACAGGAACAAGCAAGUGUGGACCGAGUCAGCUAAGAUGGUCACUGCAGUUCAUGGAGGUCAAGAUCAUUGAAUUAAGUCACCAUUUCUGACCAAGAAGGACGACCUAGGUAUGCCAAGCAUCCACUGCUCCAUUAAUGGAUACAACUUCUACGAGACGAUUUGCGACACCAGAUCGGGCGUCAACAUAAUGGCCGCAGUCACCUAUCAGCUCCGGUUCGGAACCAUGCCCCUAAAACCGACAUACAUUCAGCUCCAGAUGGCAGAUCAGACAUUCCGAGAGGUUGAAGGUAUAGUAACUGAUGUCCCUGUCAAAAUAGACGAUCAUUUUGUCCAUACAGACUUUCAGGUUAUUGACAUGGGAGAAGACGAGUACGAUCCACCCAUCAUCCUUGGGAGACCGUUCCUCAGCACCGUUAAAGCGAUCAUCUACAUUGGAACUGGAGAAGUCCACAUGCACUUCCCCUCAGAGAAGGUACGACACUAUUUUACUGACCCUAAUUAUAUAGUUGAAGACUCUAAGCAGGUCAGGACAAGAAGAAGAUGUCGCAACCGCAACUAGAGGAGGCAAAUCAUCAAGGACGGAUGGGCAAACUACGAAGGAGAAGUGGUAAGGUCUGAAGACAUACAGCUUGAACAGAAUUAUCCAGUGGAGACCGUAGCACCGAGUCACGUGUGGAGAGAGAAGAUAGAUAUACACGAAGAGGAGGCGCCACCGAAAGCACCGACUACGCCAUCCGACGAAACCCAGGACAACUGAGAAAACGGAGAGUCCUGUGCGGAGGACUUAAAAACACCGAACGCCUUGCAAAGAGGUAAACUUGGUAGUUAUUCUUUUCCUUUCAAUUAUUUCAAAUAGUUUGUUUAGUUAAUCAUGUUCAUACUAUCCUAAAAAGAAAAUAAAAAUGUUAAAAAAAUAGAAAGCUCCAUGUGAGUAUACGAGUGGCAUAAAACCCAUAAGUACAUUCACUGUGGUGGCAUAAAUAUAAAAUAAAUAUUUUUCUGCUCUAUAAAAAUGAAAACAUAAAAAUAAGAUUGUGAUCCUACCAAAGAGAGUAACAUUUAUUGAGGAGGCUCAACAUGAUAAAGGCUAGAUAUUUAUGCUAACACUUAAUCAGUUCCACAAAGCUUUGUUGUCUAUUUGAGCUUUAUAGAAUUCAUGGAUCAAGAAGACUAGCAGACGGAGGACAUUCUAAUCGCUGUCAGGGUACUGCUGACUUUCAAAUACACCUCUGCCACCUCCUAGCUACAUCAGAAGAAAUUACGUCAAAAUUCAGCUUGGGGGAGAGCACCCCAUUUUAUCCCGCUAAGUAUUUCUAUCUAUCUACAUUUAUACUUAUACUUAUAUAUAUACAUAAACAUAAAAAAUCAAAUAAAGAUUUUGUGCUUAUAUAAAUAUAUGUCUUUUCCUUAGUGUGCUUAAUAAAUAAAUAAAGUGGCUAUGCUAAACUGAAUCUUAAUAAUAAAACUCUAGCAUGGAUAUGAUGAAUAGUUGCUCUGUCUAAUUUUCAAAUUUGAAGUUUUCUCUCAAGUUUAGACAAAAGCGUUAUAAUUUAAAGCUUGCUCUAAAACCUGAACUUGUGGGAAGAGAACUUGAUCUAAAGUCUAAGUUGUUAACGGACAUGAUAUGGGAAGGUUGAGCUGCUGUUUAUCUGUUCCUAGAGAUGCUAGAAAUCUGGAGAAUUUUAUCUUUGAAAAUCUUUAAAAUAACACAGGAUGAGUUCCUGUAUGAUGAGAGUUUAAAUUCCUACCACAACCAUAUAUACAUGCUUGCUAGACUUUGAGCCACACAUUUACUUUUUACUGCUUAUGAGCAUUGAGUGUGGUCAAGCUGUGUAGACCCUUAGGAGCUUGUCAUGUGGUUAAAUCAAGAUUCACUUGCACGUUCACUCACACAUGCUGCUUCUACUCCGGAAGUACGCAUCCACAUAUAUCCACCUAUUUCCAUUUCCAGAACCACCCAAAAAUAUUCUACUCCUGAUCCGGGAGAGAAUAGCCAAAAACAUUUCUGUUUUUCCCUGUGAAAUAAAUGCUCAAGUUAUCUUGGUUACUACCACUUGCUAUAUUAUUUCAGGAGAUGAGUGCUCUAAAAAAAAGAAAAAAAAAGAAAGAGGAUACGAUGAAAUAAAAAGGGGCAAGUGCCCGGAACCUCGAAAGAAAAGAAAAAGUGAGAUGAGAGGUAAAAAUGGACAAGUGUCCGACAGUAGAAUUAGGGGUGCAAUACCCACCUAAGAGCAAAAAAAAAGAAAAUAUAGAGCAUCUCAUUCUCCUCAAAGUUUCAAAAGAGCAAGGAAGGUAUGUAUCCCCUCAAAAGAGCAAAAAUAGAAUGACUUUCACCAUUGUUAUCACCAUCAUCACCAUACACCAUUCAUUCGCCACACAUGCACAUCUUGAUUGGACUUAUUGACUUGUUUCUUUGGAUCCAUGGUUUGACUAUGCAAUAAAUGUGUUGUAAGUAUGUAUACUUUAUCUCCCACCUAUGAGCUCUAGAUAUCAAAAGCCUUAUUAGAGUAGGAUGAGAGAGAAGGCAAUAUCACUAUGCCUCAUACCACAAAUACUACAUAUUUUGAGAGAAGGCAUAUACCAUCACUGCCUUGGUAAGGAUCUAGAAAUACCACAAAAGAGAGAUCUGAGAGAGUCAUACAAGGAAUCUCGGAGUUUUAUUUGAAAAUCUGCAAAAACUCCAGAGCUAUAGCAAAUCAAGAAUAAGAGACAUGGCACUUGACUAGACCGUUCUCUCUUUUAACUGCUCAAGACAGAAGUGACGG
rnacentral:lncRNA from 1 species